UAACCAAAUAAGACUAAGAUCAAGCACUUAUCUGUGUUGAACCUGAGUUCUGACUCAAGGUGAUGCUGAAUAUAGAAUACUGAAUAUGAGCCCUGCUUUGUUUCGAAAAUUAAUUUUAAAUGAUACAGUGGUAUGGUGUCCUGUCAAUUGUUUGGGUACAUAUUUCUCUACUGAUGUACAUUAAUUUAUUUUAAUUAUGCACUUCAAGAACUGAUAAAGGUUAAAAAAAAGACUACAAGUUGAUUUCAUCCUUCUCUGUCUCAAGCUUAUCCUCAUUUAUGUUAAUUGAAACAAGUUGAGGGUAUACUGAGCCUGAAACCUUGAGUAUAAUGAGAACAAUAACCACAAGUGUUAGUUGUACCUUGAUAUAUCUGGUUUAUUUUAGAUCUGUUAUAUUGGUGUUGUUAGAUGAUUUAUGUUAUCUUUAUUGUACAUGACUGUUUAUGUUGUAAUGUGGUACUAAAUUGUUGAGUAAUUUAUGAGAUAUUGACCAAGUAAAUGUUUUUAGUGUAUAUUCAAUGCUACCAGGUUUAUACAUUUAUAAUUAUGUUAUCUACUACAAUAAAUGUAAUGAUUAAAUCAUAUUAAAACCACCCUUGAUAAUAACCUACUUGGUUUAUCAGAAGAAUAUAUUCAAUGUUCAUACGAAUUUCAUCACCUUUGCUCAAAAACUCAAGUUUUCUUACCUCUUUUUGUGAAGUCCAUCUUCUCACAAAUUUGUAAAUCAUUGACCAUUUAACAUAUCCUGUGAAAGUUUUAGAGCAAUAUUCCACUUUCAAAUAUUGUCUGUUUAAAAAUCAAAUAUUGUCUGUUUAAAAAUCAAAUAUUGUCUGUUUAAAAAAAAGUGUCUAAAUGUUGCCCUAAUGUUACGAGUGCACUUCCGAAGGUUUUGCAAUUACAUUUUUAGCUCGACUAUUCGAAGAAUAUGGAGAGCUAUACUACUCACCCAAGCGUCGGCGUAGGCGUCACCCCUUGGUUAAGGUCUUGCAUGUUAGCACACAUAGGUUAAUAUCUCAGCAACUACUUGAUGUAUUGCAUUGAGACUUUAUACAAUGGUAUUCAACCACCCAAACUCAUUGAAUAACAAAGUUAGAUAAUUGUAUUUUGCAAAUAAUGGCCCUUUAUUAUUACACUUAAAAAUUCUGGUUAAAAUUUUGCAUGUAAUCACAUUUAUGUUAAUAUCUCAGCACAUUAUGUAUUGCAUUGAAAUCUAAUCUAACAGUGAUCCAUGCAUUCGCCAAAACUUUUUAAUCGUUACACUGAAAAGAGGCGGAAUAGUCGAGCGCGCUGUCUCUGUGACAGCUCUUGUUAAAUAAAUCCUUAGGCAUGUAAAUUACAACAUGCAGUUUAUAUUUUAUGAUAAUAUUGAUAACAAAUGAAAUUAAGGUACAUUAAAAUAAUAACUCCAAAAUUAACAUGUAAUAAUUGAUAUAUAUCUGUUUAAAAUGUUCUUGCAUUAAAGUUUAGUAAGUGUAGAAACUACUUUUAAGAAAAUAAAUAAUUUUGAGUUUUAAAGCAUUUCAUCGCAUGUAGUUAUUUAAAGUUUUAAUCUUAUUUAUUAUACAACAAUUGUGAAACAUGUUACAUAACAUUAUAUUAAUCACACUCGUGAUGUAACACGAGAGUGUGGUAUUUUGUUGUGGUGGAAACAGGAUCCUGGAGGAAAUCCACUUGUCCGGCUUGGUGACCAUGCACCCAGGACAGGAAUCGAACCUGGGCCGCCUAGGUGAGAAGCGAGUGCACUUACCACUGCUCUUACCCAACAUCCAAGAUUACAGAAAGAAGUCCAAGGAAGAUAAUCAAGAAAAUAAGAAAAUCAGUUUUUUUGCCACUCCUGUACAAUUCGGAAAAUAAAUUGUUCUGAUUCUUAUUGGGCCAAGGUGAUGCUUUGUGCAAUGGUAUCAUGUGACUAGUGACUCCCUUCAUUGUUUGCGGUCAUGAAUAUAUUUAUAAGGGUGGUAUGGCGUCAUGUCAAUUGUUUGAUCACUUUAAUAUUAAAUAUACAGUAAGCUCAUUACCUGUAUAUUUAAUAUGUGCUGAGCAACCUAAACUGAUAUGGGCUUCAUUUUCUUCAUUAAUGUGAAUACAUUUUGGUAGGCUAGGAUGAUUUAGCCCGUAUCAUGGCAGAUUAUUCUUGCAAUCUUUGUGUGUCUAAAAUGUAAAAUAUAUCUUCUUUCAACUCAUUUAUUACUUUCAAUUAUUGUAUUGUAUAUAAAUUGAUCCUUAUUUGAACAUAUAGGAACAUCAUUUAUUAUAAAACAUCAAUUGCUUUGUCUUUGUAAGGAAUAAAUUAAAUUAAUUGAAACCUUAAACUUUCCCAUUUGUUCAUCAACUGGUUUAAAUUAAGGAACUGGUUGACAGGGCCUACAUACAUUAACAAUUAUUGUUUGUACUACAUAACACUGUAUUUUAAUGUCCUUUGAAGGUUUUUCAUGGACUUGUAUAGAUCAAACAUUGAGUGUAUCAUACGCUUAUAUAGAUCCAAUUCUUUAAUGAGUUUCAUACACUUAUAUUAUAAAUCCAAUCUCUGAAUGUGUUUCAUACCCUUGUAUAGAUCUAUGGUUUAUUGUGCUUCAUACACAUGUAUAGGUCCAAUCUCUGAAUGUGUUUCAUACACUUGUAUUGUAGAUCCCAUAGUUGAAUGUGUUUCAUACCCUUGUAUGGGUCUAUGGUUUAUUGUGCUUCAUACACAUGUAUAGGUCCAAUCUCUGAAUGUGUUUCAUACACUGGUAUUGUAGAUCCCAUAGUUGAAUGUGUUUCAUACACUUUUAUAGGUCCAAUCUUUGAAGGUGUUUCAUACAACUUGUAUUAUAGAUCCAACGUUGAAUGUGUUACAUAUGCUUGUACAGGUUCUAUCUUUGAAUGUGUUUCAUACACUUGUAUGGGUCCAACGUUGAAUGUGUUACAUAUGCUUGUACAGGUUCUAUCUUUGAAUGUGUUUCAUACACUUGUAUAGGUCCAAUCUCUGAAUGUGUUUCAUACACUUGUAUGGGUCCAAUCUCUGAAUGUGUUUCAUACACUUGUAUAGGUCCAAUCUCUGAAUGUGUUUCAUACACUUGUAUGGGUCCAAUCUCUGAAUGUGUUUCAUACACUUGUAUAGGUCCAAUCUCUGAAUGUGUUUCAUACACUUGUAUGGGUCCAACAUUGAAUGUGUUACAUAUGCUUGUAUAGGUUCUAUCUUUGAAUGUGUUUCAUACACUUGUAUGGGUCCAACGUUGAAUGUGUUACAUAUGCUUGUACAGGUUCUAUCUUUGAAUGUGUUUCAUACACUUGUGCAGAUCCAAUAUUGAAAAUUUGUGCAAUUGAUGCGUUUGUGAUCUCUAUUGUUUUCAUGAACUUAUAGUUAUUGUUUAUUUAUUUCAUCUUUAGCUCAACUUUUGGAAGAAUAAGGAGAGCUAUACUACUCAACCUAGUGUCACUGUCGACGUCACUCUGUCGCUUCACACUUUUGUUAAGGUUUUGCAUGUAAGCACCUUCCAAGUCAUUAUCUCAGGAAAUGCAUCAUGUAUUGCAUUGAAAUUAAGAUAUGAGUCCCCAAUUAUCCAACCUAAUUAGUUAUUCAUGUAAAAUAACUCUAUCUUGCAUAUAAUGCAAAUUAUUGCCCUUUAGUAUUGGUCUGAAAUUCUGGUUAUGGUUUUGCAUGAAACCACACAUAGGUUAAUAUGUCAGCAACUGCUUGAUGUACUGCAUUGGAAAUUUAUACAAAGGUACUCAACCAUCUAUCCUACAUGUACUUGAAUAAUUAAGUUUGGUCACCCUGUUUUGCAUAGAGUGCAUAUUAUGGUCCUUUAUUAUUUUAUUAAUAUCCUGGUUAAAGUUGUGCAUGUUACCACAUUUAAGUCAAUAUCUCAGCAAAUGCAUAUGUAUUGCAUUGACACUUUAUAUAAAGGCUCCCAACCAUCCAACCUUCUUAAAUAACCAAGUUAGAUAACUCAAUCUUGCAUAUAAUAUGAAUUUUUCCCCUUUCUUGUUUGAAUCAGAAAUUCUGGUUAAUGUUUUGCAUGAAAGCACAUAUAAAACUUUGCGACUACUUCAUGUAUUGCUUUGAAACUUUAUACAAUUAUGUAUGAUAACUCUAUCUUGCAUAUUAUGCAAAUUUUGCCCCUUUAUAUAUUUAACUGGUCAAGACUUUACAUUUUAUCUCAUUUUACAGUGAUCCAUGCACGUUUCACUAAAGCUUAAAAUCCUUAAAAAUAAAAGCAGAAAGUCGAGCCCUAUUACAACUCUUGUUUUGUUGUUGUUGUUUUUUAUACUUUUUUUACUUUUUAUUUGCUGAAGUUUGUUUAAUAUUAACAAUUUACAAUGUUAUUGUUAUGGCACAAAUGUACAUGUAGGUCAUAUUUGUUUUGAUAUGCAGUAAAUACAUUACACAGUUAUACCUUA